ensembl:lncRNA
GUCUGAAUGUUGGAUGUUGUGUAUCUCGUGUUCUCUGGGCUUUGUUGUCCUCAGUCUUUUUGCAGGCUCAGAAAACAAAACCAGGAGGCCUGUAAAUGUUUCUUCUCCAAUUGGAUGAUGAUAAGACUGUGACACGGGAUGCCACCUUUAGUCUUGUGAUGAAGCAAAGCUCAGGAAGAAGUGUGAUUAAAUGGUACCCACAUGUGUGCUGCUGAGAAGGAUGUACAGGGGCACCUGCAGCCAAAUCCAAGCCUCCUCAGGAGAUACUGUUAGAGAGAGACGAUCCGAGUCAUCCUUAAAUAUGGGCAGGAUAUCAGUCUUGGACUGUCUAACCUGCCGGAGCAGCACUGAAUGAUCACCACACAUGAGCAUGUUCCUGCAACAUUCAGCAUCUGAUCUGCCAUCUGUGUGCUUCUGCUUUUGUGUCAAAUGUCAACCAGCUGGAGAGGAAACUACACCAGUGUACUGGGAUGUUUCAGCAACACGUGCCAGAUGCUGUUCCUUCAUGGUGACAUCACCAGAGACAGCCCCGCCCACCUCAGGACCUCGCCAUUGAUCAUGAUGAUUAUAAUGAUGACAGCGAGCGGAACUAAGACUGUAAAAAUCCACGACCAGAAUGUUUAGAUGCUUUCUAAUUAUUCAUGAAUACUGAGAGCCUCUUUCUGUGUUUUGUCUGUUUUGGUUUUUUUACCUCAUUUGUUACUAACAAAGUUCACCAAACUCACUCAGUUUACAUUCUGUAUGUUUCCAUCUUUACCAGCCACACUCUUAACUGCAAUUAAGAAAACAAACCGUAGAAAUUGUCGUUUUUCUCUUUUGUAAUUGAUGAUAAUUCAGUGAAUAUACGGCGC